CAAACCGGUGUCAAUGGUUAACCCAGGUGCAUGGUGUCUGGAGCUUUUCUUUCCUGUAUUAUUAACUGAAGGACAUUUUCACCACUGCCCAGCUGUGAGCACCCAGCUCACAGAUCCUCUAUGGGGAGAGUGAAGACAGGAAGCAGCAGUGCUGUGUAUCCAGUGAUGUAAAUAUCAGUGUCGAAUGAAAUACAAUGAAGAGAAUUUAAUUUCCGGUACCAGGGCUAUGGGGGAUCGAGG